AAUGAACGUUGGCGGCGUGGAUUAGGCAUGCAAGUCGUGCGGAAAGGCUCCUUCGGGAGUACUCAAGCGGCGAAAGGGAGAGUAACGCGUGGAUAUCUGCCCCCUGGACUGGGAUAGCGGCGGGAAACUGCCGGUAAUACCGGAUAAAGUCUGCGGACCAAAGGUGUGAUUCCGCCGGGGGAUGAGUCCGCGUCCUAUUAGCUAGUUGGCGGGGUAAUGGCCCACCAAGGCGACGAUGGGUAGCAGGUGUGAGAGCACGACCUGCCUCAUUGGGACUGAGACACUGCCCAGACACCUACGGGAGGCAG
rnacentral:rRNA from 1 species